AACGAACGCUGGCGGCAUGCCUAACACAUGCAAGUCGAACGAGACCUUUGUGUCUAGUGGCGCACGGGUGCGUAACGCGUGGGAAUCUGCCCUUGGGUUCGGAAUAACAGUGAGAAAUUGCUGCUAAUACCGGAUGAUGUCUUCGGACCAAAGAUUUAUCGCCCAGGGAUGAGCCCGCGUAGGAUUAGCUAGUUGGUGGGGUAAUGGCCUACCAAGGCGACGAUCCUUAGCUGGUCUGAGAGGAUGAUCAGCCACACUGGGACUGAGACACGGCCCAGACUCCUACGGGAGGCAGCAGUGGGGAAUAUUGGACAAUGGGCGCAAGCCUGAUCCAGCAAUGCCGCGUGAGUGAUGAAGGCCUUAGGGUUGUAAAGCUCUUUUACCAGGGAUGAUAAUGACAGUACCUGGAGAAUAAGCUCCGGCUAACUCCGUG
rnacentral:rRNA from 1 species